rnacentral:rRNA from 1 species
AGAGUUUGAUCCUGGCUCAGGAUGAACGCUGGCGGCGUGCCUAACACAUGCAAGUCGAACGAAGCUUGACGGAUGAUUUCUUCGGAAUGAAACCAGAUAUGACUUAGUGGCGGACGGGUGAGUAACACGUGAGCAACCUGCCUUUCAGAGGGGGAUAACGGCUGGAAACGGUCGCUAAUACCGCAUGACGUGUUCGGAUGGCAUCAUCUGAACAUCAAAGAUUUAUCGCUGAAAGAUGGGCUCGCGUCUGAUUAGAUAGUUGGUGGGGUAACGGCCUACCAAGUCGACGAUCAGUAGCCGGACUGAGAGGUUGAACGGCCACAUUGGGACUGAGAUACGGCCCAGACUCCUACGGGAGGCAGCAGUGGGGAAUAUUGCACAAUGGGGGAAACCCUGAUGCAGCGACGCCGCGUGAGUGAAGAAGUAUUUCGGUAUGUAAAGCUCUAUCAGCAGGGAAGAUAAUGACGGUACCUGACUAAGAAGCACCGGCUAAAUACGUGCCAGCAGCCGCGGUAAUACGUAUGGUGCAAGCGUUAUCCGGAUUUACUGGGUGUAAAGGGAGCGCAGGCGGUGCGGCAAGUCUGAUGUGAAAGCCCGGGGCUCAACCCCGGUACUGCAUUGGAAACUGUCGUACUAGAGUGUCGGAGGGGUAAGCGGAAUUCCUAGUGUAGCGGUGAAAUGCGUAGAUAUUAGGAGGAACACCAGUGGCGAAGGCGGCCAACUGGGCUUUUACUGACGCUGAGGCUCGAAAGUGUGGGGAGCAAACAGGAUUAGAUACCCUGGUAGUCCACACUGUAAACGAUGAUAGCUAGGUGUGGGGGGUCUGACCCCUUCCGUGCCGGAGUUAACGCAAUAAGCUAUCCACCUGGGGAGUACGACCGCAAGGUUGAAACUCAAAGGAAUUGACGGGGGCCCGCACAAGCAGUGGAUUAUGUGGUUUAAUUCGAAGCAACGCGAAGAACCUUACCAGGUCUUGACAUCCGACUAACGAGAUAGAGAUAUGUCAGGUGCCCUUCGGGGAAAGUCGAGACAGGUGGUGCAUGGUUGUCGUCAGCUCGUGUCGUGAGAUGUUGGGUUAA